rnacentral:rRNA from 1 species
AACGCGAAGAACCUUACCAGGUCUUGACAUCCCUCUGACCGUCCUAGAGAUAGGGCUUUCCUUCGGGACAGAGGAGACAGGUGGUGCAUGGUUGUCGUCAGCUCGUGUCGUGAGAUGUUGGGUUAAGUCCCGCAACGAGCGCAACCCUUGAUCUUAGUUGCCAGCACUUUGGGUGGGCACUCUAGGAUGACUGCCGGUGACAAACCGGAGGAAGGUGGGGAUGACGUCAAAUCAUCAUGCCCCUUAUGACCUGGGCUACACACGUACUACAAUGGCCGAUACAACGGGAAGCGAAACCGCGAGGUGGAGCCAAUCCUAUCAAAGUCGGUCUCAGUUCGGAUUGCAGGCUGCAACUCGCCUGCAUGAAGUCGGAAUUGCUAGUAAUCGCGGAUCAGCAUGCCGCGGUGAAUACGUUCCCGGGCCUUGUA